GAUUAAGUUAUUAAGGGCGCACGGUGGAUGCCUUGGCACUAGAAGCCGAUGAAGGACGUUACUAACGACGAUAUGCUUUGGGGAGCUGUAAGUAAGCUUUGAUCCAGAGAUUUCCGAAUGGGGAAACCCAGCAUGAGUUAUGUCAUGUUAUCGAUAUGUGAAUACAUAGCAUAUUAGAAGGCACACCCGGAGAACUGAAACAUCUUAGUACCCGGAGGAAGAGAAAGAAAAUUCGAUUCCCUUAGUAGCGGCGAGCGAAACGGGAAGAGCCCAAACCAACAAGCUUGCUUGUUGGGGUUGUAGGACACUCUAUACGGAGUUACAAAGGACGACAUUAGACGAAUCAUCUGGAAAGAUGAAUCAAAGAAGGUAAUAAUCCUGUAGUCGAAAAUGUUGUCUCUCUUGAGUGGAUCCUGAGUACGACGGAGCACGUGAAAUUCCGUCGGAAUCUGGGAGGACCAUCUCCUAAGGCUAAAUACUCUCUAGUGACCGAUAGUGAACCAGUACCGUGAGGGAAAGGUGAAAAGCACCCGGAAGGGGAGUGAAAUAGAACCUGAAACCGUGUGCUUACAAGUAGUCAGAGCCCGUUAAUGGGUGAUGGCGUGCCUUUUGUAGAAUGAACCGGCGAGUUACGAUUUGAUGCAAGGUUAAGCAGUAAAUGUGGAGCCGUAGCGAAAGCGAGUCUGAAUAGGGCGUUUAGUAUUUGGUCGUAGACCCGAAACCAGGUGAUCUACCCUUGGUCAGGUUGAAGUUCAGGUAACACUGAAUGGAGGACCGAACCGACUUACGUUGAAAAGUGAGCGGAUGAACUGAGGGUAGCGGAGAAAUUCCAAUCGAACCUGGAGAUAGCUGGUUCUCUCCGAAAUAGCUUUAGGGCUAGCCUCAAGUGAUGAUUAUUGGAGGUAGAGCACUGUUUGGACGAGGGGCCCCUCUCGGGUUACCGAAUUCAGACAAACUCCGAAUGCCAAUUAAUUUAACUUGGGAGUCAGAACAUGGGUGAUAAGGUCCGUGUUCGAAAGGGAAACAGCCCAGACCACCAGCUAAGGUCCCAAAAUAUAUGUUAAGUGGAAAAGGAUGUGGCGUUGCCCAGACAACUAGGAUGUUGGCUUAGAAGCAGCCAUCAUUUAAAGAGUGCGUAAUAGCUCACUAGUCGAGUGACACUGCGCCGAAAAUGUACCGGGGCUAAACAUAUUACCGAAGCUGUGGAUUGUCCUUUGGACAAUGGUAGGAGAGCGUUCUAAGGGCGUUGAAGCAUGAUCGUAAGGACAUGUGGAGCGCUUAGAAGUGAGAAUGCCGGUGUGAGUAGCGAAAGACGGGUGAGAAUCCCGUCCACCGAUUGACUAAGGUUUCCAGAGGAAGGCUCGUCCGCUCUGGGUUAGUCGGGUCCUAAGCUGAGGCCGACAGGCGUAGGCGAUGGAUAACAGGUUGAUAUUCCUGUACCACCUAUAAUCGUUUUAAUCGAUGGGGGGACGCAGUAGGAUAGGCGAAGCGUGCGAUUGGAUUGCACGUCUAAGCAGUAAGGCUGAGUAUUAGGCAAAUCCGGUACUCGUUAAGGCUGAGCUGUGAUGGGGAGAAGACAUUGUGUCUUCGAGUCGUUGAUUUCACACUGCCGAGAAAAGCCUCUAGAUAGAAAAUAGGUGCCCGUACCGCAAACCGACACAGGUAGUCAAGAUGAGAAUUCUAAGGUGAGCGAGCGAACUCUCGUUAAGGAACUCGGCAAAAUGACCCCGUAACUUCGGGAGAAGGGGUGCUCUUUAGGGUUAACGCCCAGAAGAGCCGCAGUGAAUAGGCCCAAGCGACUGUUUAUCAAAAACACAGGUCUCUGCUAAACCGUAAGGUGAUGUAUAGGGGCUGACGCCUGCCCGGUGCUGGAAGGUUAAGAGGAGUGGUUAGCUUCUGCGAAGCUACGAAUCGAAGCCCCAGUAAACGGCGGCCGUAACUAUAACGGUCCUAAGGUAGCGAAAUUCCUUGUCGGGUAAGUUCCGACCCGCACGAAAGGCGUAACGAUUUGGGCACUGUCUCAACGAGAGACUCGGUGAAAUCAUAGUACCUGUGAAGAUGCAGGUUACCCGCGACAGGACGGAAAGACCCCGUGGAGCUUUACUGUAGCCUGAUAUUGAAAUUCGGCACAGCUUGUACAGGAUAGGUAGGAGCCUUUGAAACGUGAGCGCUAGCUUACGUGGAGGCGCUGGUGGGAUACUACCCUAGCUGUGUUGGCUUUCUAACCCGCACCACUUAUCGUGGUGGGAGACAGUGUCAGGCGGGCAGUUUGACUGGGGCGGUCGCCUCCUAAAAGGUAACGGAGGCGCUCAAAGGUUCCCUCAGAAUGGUUGGAAAUCAUUCAUAGAGUGUAAAGGCAUAAGGGAGCUUGACUGCGAGACCUACAAGUCGAGCAGGGUCGAAAGACGGACUUAGUGAUCCGGUGGUUCCGCAUGGAAGGGCCAUCGCUCAACGGAUAAAAGCUACCCCGGGGAUAACAGGCUUAUCUCCCCCAAGAGUUCACAUCGACGGGGAGGUUUGGCACCUCGAUGUCGGCUCAUCGCAUCCUGGGGCUGUAGUCGGUCCCAAGGGUUGGGCUGUUCGCCCAUUAAAGCGGUACGCGAGCUGGGUUCAGAACGUCGUGAGACAGUUCGGUCCCUAUCCGUCGUGGGCGUAGGAAAUUUGAGAGGAGCUGUCCUUAGUACGAGAGGACCGGGAUGGACAUACCUCUGGUGUACCAGUUGUCGUGCCAACGGCAUAGCUGGGUAGCUAUGUGUGGACGGGAUAAGUGCUGAAAGCAUCUAAGCAUGAAGCCCCCCUCAAGAUGAGAUUUCCCAACUUCGGUUAUAAGAUCCCUCAAAGAUGAUGAGGUUAAUAGGUUCGAGGUGGAAGCAUGGUGACAUGUGGAGCUGACGAAUACUAAUCGAUCGAAGACUUAAUCAA
rnacentral:rRNA from 1 species